GGUAAAUAUACGUCAAGUCAUCGUGGAUUGUCUUCCUUAUUCUGUACCACAGGAAGAAUAAAUCCUGAGGGUGAAUAUACGUCAAGUCAUCGUGGAUUGUCUUCCUUAUUCUGUACCACAGGAUUUGGAGGGGCAACACUUCCGGUCCGUUGUAGUGCCUCGGAGCUUUGGAGGAGGUUAUCCGUCAAUCAUCUCACUCCAUCUCUGUUCAGGUGUGGACUGUUUCCUUGAAACAGAUCCACUCGUUUCCAGAAGAGAUUGAAAUUCUCAAUGAAGUGCCAUCCUCUGCUUUGGAUAGUCGUGUGUUCCGCUGAAGCAGCCGGGUAAAUGAGGACAUCUUGCCACGGGGAGCGUUUCAUGAAGUCCUUUUCCAGUUUCCGAGGUAAAAAUCUGUGCUUAUAGAACACAAAUGUCUUGCUGAUACUGUAUAUCCGCCAACAAGGAACUCCUCUGAGCAUGCUCUUUGGAUAUGUUGUAAAAAUAUAAAUAACGAUUCAAAAAGUCUUAAAAGAAAAUAAAUUAAACCAUCUCCGAGACUUAGGGACAAAAUAGAAUGAUUCACAAGUGGGAAAAAAAAAAGGCAAUAAGAAAGAUCCAUCUGCACUUGACAGAAGCAGGAAGUCACCCUUCAAGCAGCCCAGUUUCCAAAAUGGUAUGUAAACAAUUUCAAAAAUGAUAAACUAUAGCGGUGCAUAGCGUACCGUGUCUUGCUGAGCCGCAUGGGAGGAGCUACCGUUACACACCUGCUGGCAAUUACUCACUUGGCCUUUUUUGAAGCCGUGCUGUUGGGUUCACUCGUUGCCAGAUUGUUACCUGCUCCUCCUCGGCUAGCCGCUCCUCGUUAAACGUUAUUUCUUCACUACUUUCUGGUCUUACUUGUUUGUAUUGUGAGUAUUUUUUUUGGUUCCCAGCAGUGGCUUUUUGCAAGCAUUUUGCGCUGUACUUCCUGUUAUUCUUUUAGGCCGUGUUACACCCCCUAAACGUAAUAACUGCCCACAAACGUAAUAAACCACAAACGUAAUACAAAUCUGCAGCUUUGAAUGUAAUAAUACCGCAAAUGUAAUACAUUUCCCACAAACGUAAUAAAAUUUGCCUACUGCAAACGUAAUACUGAAUUUC